ACGGCGCGAGCAGGUGCGAAAGCAGGUCAUAGUGAUCCGGUGGUUCUGAAUGGAAGGGCCAUCGCUCAACGGAUAAAAGGUACUCCGGGGAUAACAGGCUGAUACCGCCCAAGAGUUCAUAUCGACGGCGGUGUUUGGCACCUCGAUGUCGGCUCAUCACAUCCUGGGGCUGAAGUAGGUCCCAAGGGUAUGGCUGUUCGCCAUUUAAAGUGGUACGCGAGCUGGGUUUAGAACGUCGUGAGACAGUUCGGUCCCUAUCUGCCGUGGGCGCUGGAGAACUGAGGGGGGCUGCUCCUAGUACGAGAGGACCGGAGUGGACGCAUCACUGGUGUUCGGGUUGUCAUGCCAAUGGCACUGCCCGGUAGCUAAAUGCGGAAGAGAUAAGUGCUGAAAGCAUCUAAGCACGAAACUUGCCCCGAGAUGAGUUCUCCCUGACUCCUUGAGAGUCCUGAAGGAACGUUGAAGACGACGACGUUGAUAGGCCGGGUGUGUAAGCGCAGCGAUGCGUUGAGCUAACCGGUACUAAUGAACCGUGAGG
rnacentral:rRNA from 1 species